rnacentral:rRNA from 1 species
CCUACGGGAGGCUGCAGUGGGGAAUAUUGGACAAUGGGGGCAACCCUGAUCCAGCCAUGCCGCGUGUGUGAAGAAGGCCCUCGGGUUGUAAAGCACUUUCAGUGAGGAAGAACGCCUGGUGGUUAAUACCCAUCAGGAAAGACAUCACUCACAGAAGAAGCACCGGCUAACUCCGUGCCAGCAGCUGCGGUAAUACGGAGGGUGCGAGCGUUAAUCGGAAUUACUGGGCGUAAAGCGCGCGUAGGUGGCUUGAUAAGCCGGUUGUGAAAGCCCCGGGCUCAACCUGGGAACGGCAUCCGGAACUGUCAAGCUAGAGUGCAGGAGAGGAAGGUAGAAUUCCCGGUGUAGCGGUGAAAUGCGUAGAGAUCGGGAGGAAUACCAGUGGCGAAGGCGGCCUUCUGGACUGACACUGACACUGAGGUGCGAAAGCGUGGGUAGCAAACAGGAUUAGAUACCCGGGUAGUC